UAUAAAUCAUUUCAGACCAGACGACAGACCUUAUAGAAAAAUGGAGUAAUCCUUUUGCAUGGUGAAUCCCGUCCUUCGUGCUAAAACGGGGCGCGCGUAAGAGGAGACGCUGCAGUCGUUACGGACAGAGUUUGACUUUCAGCAGAAGCAGAAGUUGUUGAAGGACAACAGGAGUAUCCUAGUGGACGAGGAGAGUUUUAUCGAGACCUUCCUUAAAUGUUUGAUCUGUCGGGAGCUGUAUGACGACGCCAUCCAUCCGCCCAAACUCCUCCACUGCCACCACUCUCUCUGUCUUCAGUGCAUCCUUCUCAUUUUUCAGAAAGAGGCUGAAUACAGGACGAGCCUCACGCCUGCGUACAGUGAACUUCCAACUGCUGUGACGGUCAUCUGCCCCACGUGUCGUACGAACUUUAUCACGACCCAGGACGGUAUACGGGAACUCCCAACAGAUCAUCGUAUCAUACAACUCAUAGACUUCGUCAGUCACACCGAACGUUAUACUACCGACUUCUGUCCGCUUCAUAAAUUUCAGCCAAUCAACUUCUUCUGUGAGCGUUGUACCACUUACGUGUGUCGAGACUGCACCAUUGUAGAUCACCAAGAAGCGUUAGGUCAUACCGUGGUAGACUUCGAAGGUGCAAUAAAGAAGUACAUUCCAAUUCUCGAUAAAGCCAUAAAAGAAAUGGACUCAGAAAAAGACGCCAUUAAGACGAAGCAUAAGGCUGUCGAGGACGCCAUAGAGAAUCUAGACAAAGAGGAAAACCAAGUAUCGGACGAAAUCAAGGAAACCUUUGCCAAGCUGAAAAAGAUCCUAGAAGAGAGGGAGCAGGAAGUCCUACAGAUGGCGAAAAGGGAAGUCGGAAACGAGAAAACCAAACUAAAAGAAAAAUUGUCUGAAAUGGAAAAACGGACUGAGGAGCUCGAUCAGAACAUAAACGAGAUAGAGAAGACGAAGGAGGACGGAAAGCUGGAGACUCUGUACCGGACGUCCCGGACCUACUCCGGCUACCGGUCCGAGCCCGUCGUCAAAGUCCGCGAGGUAGACGAAGGGGUGGUGGCCAAAUUCUCCUUCAACAGCAGAGACGAGAACACGCUGGCCAACAAACUCCAGAACUUCGGCGACGUGUCCUCUUACACCGAGUCUGUGUACACCAGGUCUACUUCCGGUAGGCCGGCGCUGAGCGAAGACCGCUAUGGCGGCUCCAGGUACAGCACGCUGAGUGAUAGCAGGUACUCGUCUUCAACGACAUCGUCGUCUUACUCAUCGCGGUACUCAUCGCCCUACAACAGGUACUCCUACCGGACGUGACGUUAGCAAAUGUCAUUGCAUGGGAGAACAUUUCAAGUUGCAUUUAACUUUCAUUUUUUAACAAAGCUGAUAUGAUUUAUAACGUAUAUUUUCUAUACAUUGGUUUUUGUUAAUUUUUACAUUGAUUGUAUAAGCCAUAAUUAUAGAGGCCCUGGGAUUUGAUUAUUAUUAUAUUUGUUUCUGAGAAAUUUUAAUGUAAUACUUUGCCUUUAAAUGUUUUAUGUGCCACAGUCUUACUAUGCCAAUAUACAUGUAUACCAUUAUUUUGAAUAUUCUUUAUAAAUAGCUUGAUAUUAAAGCAUAAUAUGUAUG
rnacentral:misc_RNA from 1 species